rnacentral:lncRNA from 1 species
UUUUUUUUUUUUUUUUCCAUUUUUCUUCCAAAAAUGGAAUCAACAUAAGCAAUUUGAUUGCAAUAACAAUUAAAGAAAUAUUUGCAUGUUAACAAUUUAUUGAAAAUAUCAAUUUUACACCUUUUUUUUUGUAUAUUGUUAUAAAAUAUAUAUUUUGUUGUUGUAUCUUGCUGUAUUAGUAUCAUGAUUUUCUUAAAAAGGUUUUUUUGUCAUCAUGCCCGUAUUAUGUCGUAUUCAUAUUUAUUGUCUGUUUCUAUGCUUCCUAGUUUAUAGCAUUUUCUGGGAAGGUGUAAGUUCAUUCUUUACUUGAUGACUUAUGUCUCUGUCGCAAAUCGAUUGUCUUGUGUCACAGUUCCUAUUUAUGCAAAAAUGCCAUGCACGAUCUAAGUAUCUGACUGUUUAUAGUGAUAGUUUUGAAGUGAAUCAGUUGCUUUGUAUUAAAUUUUAUUUACGAAGUCGAGUUGCUUCCUUAUAGAGCUGAAAUAUUAGACUUGGUAAUUAUAUUUGUUGUUAACCUAGACCAAACUUAAGUGAAAAUGCUAACCAUGUUGCUGCCGCUGUUGCCUUGCCUCCUUUCUCCACACCUUUCAUUUUUGCUUCUUUUUUUCUUCGUCUCCUCUCCUUAUUUUGUCUUGAGAAACAGAUUCCUGUCUAAGCAAAAGAUUUCCAAAGAGCCCACCUUUUUCCUUUUUUGUUUUUUUGGCUUAGUAGUUUCUAGCAAUUGUUAUUGUUUGAUAAUUGCCUCAACUAAAAUUAUAUAAAAUAUUUUAUGUUAUAUUAAAUAACUCUCUUUAUGAUAGGCAACAAGGUGAGGACAGUGAUAGUGACUUUAGGGACUCCUGCAGUGAUGGUAGUAGCGAUUGUGAACCUGAAAGAGGAUCAAACCCUUUUAGAGAAAAAAGGAAUCAGCAGAUAUUUCAAGAAGACUUAUCUAGCAAUGACAACGGUGAAUCUGUCAAUUCUCAAAAUUGUUUUAUUUUUGAGUAAUUUGAACAAGACCCUCCAUGCAGCCGAGAACCUUUAGCUGACAAGGUUAGUAUGUAUUUCCAUCCUUCUCCCUCUCUCUCUCUCUCUCUCUCUCUCUCUCUCUCNNNNNNNNNNNNNNNNNNNNNNNNNNNNNNNNNNNNNNNNNNNNNNNNNNNNNNNNNNNNNNNNNNNNNNNNNNNNNNNNNNNNNNNNNNNNNNNNNNNNAUAUCUGGAUCAAUGCCUUUCUCAUUUUUGGUCACUUCCUAAACGAAAUGUAUGAUAACAGAUUGUAUAUCUGGCCUUCCAAUUCCCUGAACUGAAGACACUAAAAAGCUGUGAUUUACUAUCUUCCAGCUGGAUUUCGAUGGCAUGGUAUUAUUAUUUAGUUUUCUUAAAAGUUAUUUUUAAACUUGUGUUUGCAUAUGUAACUGACGUGUUCCUCUGACAUUAUGGUAGGUAUCCAAUUUACAGAAUACCCACUGGACCUACGUUAAAAGAUCUAGAUGCUUGCUUUCUGACUUACCAUUUUCUUCAUACACCAGUAGGAGGUACUAAAUGAUUUCAUUUUGAAACUUUCUUCUUUCCUAUUUGUGAACUAAGGGAUAUGCUAGGCUUUCUUGUUAAGUUAUAUUUUCCAGCUUUCGCUUGUAAAUUGUAAAUUUGAAUCUUUUACAUCUCUAACAAGUGUUAAGUCUCAUAAUGCAUAAGUACUUUCAAAAUAUGAAAAGUGAUUUUGAGGUACUCCUGUUUGACUUGCAAGUAGUUAACUUGCUCUGUCUGAAAAGGGUCCUAUUCCUAGUUCAUUUGAUAUAAUUUUGUGGACAGAAAUGCCUUUUUAUAGAAACUUUUGCUGCUUAAUGUUAACCAAAGUACUGACAGACUUUCCAUUAAUCACUAAUAGUUUGUGCUUGUAUAAGCUCCGAUAGCACCCAUGUAAUGGCAAAUAAACCUCAUCUGUUGGUUUUUUCUAAAUAUUUUAGGUGGACAAAGUGCUCAGGGACCGGUUGUAACAGGUCUCAAUAAUCUGAAGAUGCAAUUGCCUGUUUUUGGUCUUGCGUCAUACAAGUUCCUUGUGGACACCUAAUGGACCAAGUGAUCGUCACUUGACGAACAACCUCUUUCAGGCUGCUGACAGUUGGUUGAGAAGACUUCUUGACCAUCGACCAGAUUUCACAUUCUUUUUUCUGCCGCAGGUGAUAUUCAGCUAUCUCUGUAAAAGUAGUACCCCUAACCAUUCCAGAAUGGAAAUGCAACCGUUACUUGUCAAACAGCACCCACAAAUUAUAAUACUUCAAUUUUGGAGGUCAAGGUCAAAAGUUCAGUUUGGGGUGAUUGUCUUUUGUAACAAUUUAUGAAAGAACCGGGGAAAAAUUUUCUAACACAAAAUGCCUUGGGACAAAAGUUGGAACAAGGCAUUAGAGAGGAAGCGAAUGGAAAAUUUUCGAUUUAGAAGCUUAUGGAGAGCGGAGCUGAGGUCGAGCCACGUGAGUCUUGCUUGCUAUCGGUAUAUGUUAGUCUCACGCGGACUUGCUUUAAGUCCGGAUGACAAAAAUAUAGAAUCUCAUGUUUUACCUGACAUAAUGAAGGGAAUUUUAUUAGGAUGGUUGUUUCCAUAAUAUGUAUCGUGAUGUUUAUUUUAUAUUAAUUUCAUCUCUGUUUGUUUAGCUAUCCAUAACUGAUAACUCCGUCUUAAUUCUUAAAUAAAAAAUAAACGCGCUUCAAACAUGUUUUUGAAUUCAUGUUCUUAUGUAUUGGUCAGAAGCAAAAAAAUAUUUAUGUUAAUUUAUAAACAAAUCUUAUGCUGACAUGUCAGCGUUUAAUUGGUUAAAGCUUUUAACCUAACCCAUAUUGUAACAGUAUUAGUGAUAAAGGAUUUGAUAAAAUAGGUGUGAAAUUUGAAAACUGAAGAUGGUACUACUUUAAACUCCAAAAAAAGGUCACAAUCACAAAGCAUAUUGCCAGCUUCAAACUUAAGUAUCUCUUUUGGCCAGCUGCGUUAUAAGUCAAAAAGGUUGCAUUAUUUUUUUAUAAUUUUGCACUUAAAUGCGUUUGGAAUUAUUGGAAAAAUAAUGCACCCCAACAUCAAUAAAAAGGAGGCAAGGAGGGAUAAGCUCAACAUAGGCAGCUCCCAUAAAAUUAUCCGUAAAUCCAGAGAUGCAGUGAGCAACUGGGAAAAUCGAAAAUCCAACAACGUCGCCGUCUUUCAUCAAUUGCGGUUGAGGACAAAGGGAAAGGAUCCCAUCAUCUCCUGCUCGGCUCUAUAUGCUGUUGCUGAAUGAACCAUCAAACUAUCCACUAAUCUCUCAAAAUGGAAAAUUUGUUUUUUAAUCAAAUAAACUAAAAGGCCCAUGUAUUCCGCAAGCAUCCAAAAAGCAAAGCAGCAGGUAAUGCCCCCACACCAUUUCCUUUUCAAAGGAAUAUAACAAGGGUAAUCAUUUAGUAAAUUUUUUUUAUUUUAUUUACCUGUGCAGAAACUAGUCAUGUCAACUGAAUUCAAGAGUAUACUUUGAAUGCAUUGAAAUUGAUCAUAGACACGAACAUACAACCCUGACAUGGAACAAAAAAAAACUUGAGUUUCAAGGUAUUAUACUAGUUCCAAGCACAAGUAAAAAUGAUGGACUUUCAAGAGAUUGCGGCAUUAAAAUGAUUAUGAUUGGAUUCCAAUCACCAGCUUAAAUUAUUGUUACUUCUAAAUACGAGCUCAAACUAUUCAUUUAAAAAAUAAUGUUUUUAAAUAUGACUUAAAUUGUUUACAAAAAGAAAUGAUGUUUUUAAGUACGAGAUUAAAUUAUACAUCCCAAAAUAUAUUUUAAAUCAUCUCUUGACUCGAUCUUUUAAAAUACGAAGUUUCAUGCCAAGUUUACUCCAAAUAAAAAUUAUAUAGUUUUUAAGACAUCAUUCAAAAUUUGUAAAUCCUGUCGAGAUGAUUCAAAGAUGAAUUUAAACUUCAAGCAGAAUCAUUCAUCCAAUAUCAAGUAUUAUCAUUGGAUCCAAACUCUUCCUAAACUCGUUUUUCAAGAUUCACUACAAUAAUAAUUUAUACUACUUAUUUCUUUCGAAAGAGUUUACAAAAACAAAUCACAAAUAAUACAUAUUCUAUCAAAUAAAAUUAGAAUCAAUUUAAUAUAAAACACAUCAAACUCGAAAUAAAAAAUAUAUUCAACUUAAACCAUCAAAGUCGGAAUCAUUGGCAACAAUAUUAUUUGUUAUACUUACAUAAUAUAUAUAUAUAUAUAUUUAACAUUAAUAUGUUUAUAAGUUUUUAUCAUAUUUGUUAUUUUUUAUACAAGGUCUAAAUUUACGCGUAGUUCCUUCCCAACCCUUAAAAACGAGGACAAUACAUUCCAACGCAAUCGGAUUCACGUAUUUUUGUACUGACAAUAAUAUUGAUGUCAAUAAAAUUAAGACUCAACCGACUUAGAUUAAAUAUUUUUAAAAGGAGUAAAAUUGUGAAAAUAUGGUGUAAAGUGUGGGUAAUUUACCAAUAAAAGUCGUUUUUUUUUCAAAAUUUACCGAAAUGGACCGAUUUUUUGAUUAUUUACCGGAAUGGCCCAUUUUCUGCGAAAUCGCGUCCACGUCAGCGCGAUGUCAGGGUACAUGUUAGGACAUUGCGUCCACGUUAGCGCGAUUUGCUUACGUGGACACAAAUCGCGCCUACGAGGACGCGAUUUGCUGACGUGGAUGAGCAGUUUAUGUUUUUAAGCUUGUAAAACUUUGAAAGGCCAUAACUUUUCGCUCGGUUGUCCGAUUGAGACGAUUUUUUUUAUUUCGAAUAAAUUUUCGAGAUCUACGCGCUGACAAACAACAAAGGCUAUUUGCCGCAGUUUUUGUUGAAAAAUAUCCUUUUUUGCCCCUAAAUUUUGAUUUUUUCGGUUUAAAAUUGAAUUUUGAAACAUUCAAAUAAUUAUUUUCCUUAUUUAUUUGAAGUAAACACCGGAUCUUUUUUUACAGAAUUGUCUUAUAUCAUCCUGUUAUAGGUAUAAGUCAGCUCAUUCCACUUUUGAGAAGUUCCCUAAAAUUUUCUAUUUUAUUCAAUUUAGUCCUAAAACCUAAAUAGUCAUAUUUUCAAAUCUAAGCUUCAUUUUUCAAUUCAAAUUCAAUUUCAUCCUUCCAUAACAUUCAAAUAUUCUUAAAUACAAAAAAUUCAUGCUAAUUUUGAAAUAAUUACACUUUAGUCCCUAUACUCGUAACUAACAAAUUAUACUUUACAAAUUAGUCCCUAUUCAUCUCUAAGCAGUUUUUCAGCGCAUAAAUCUCGAAAAUUUAUUCGAAAUAAAAAAAAUCGUCUCAAUCGGACAACCGAGCCAAAAGUUAUGACCUUUCAAAGUUUUUCAAGCUAAAAAACAUAAACUGUUCAUGCCACGUUAGCAAAUCGCGUACUCUAGGACGCGAUUUCCGUCCAUGUCAGCAAGUCGCGCUGACGUGGACGCGAUUUCCUGGAGCGUACCCUGACAUUGCGCUGACGUGGACGCGAUUUCGGGAAAAUAGACCAUUCCGGUAAAUAAUUAAAUAGUUGGCCCAUUUCGAUAAAUUUUGAAAAAUAAGGGCUUUUAUUGGUAAAUUACCCGUCAAAACCGACACCCCUUAAUUUACCCUUGAGUCUUGCAGAUCGAGUCAAACCCCUUGAAGCACCUCAACAAGCCUAAUUUACAACAAUUCAAAGAAGACUCUAAUAUUUGGGGCUACCUUUGAGAACGAAGCGAAAAUCCAUGGCUUAAUCUUCCCAACUCGAUAAGCUUCAAAAAUAUUUUUGACGUUUUUGACAAGUUCACACUUUUUCCAUUGGAGAUUUCAGUUUCAUAAAAUUUCACAAAUACAUUUAUCUCCAUCUUUUUGGUUUAUCAAAAGUUCCUCCAUUUUUAGUUCCAUAAAGCUUUCAUAUUUGGGUUUCAUAAAGUUUCCCAAACACAUUUAUCUCCAUUGUUUGGUUUAUUGAAAGUUCCUACAAAAGAGUUUCUUAAAUUUCUCAUCUGGGUUCAAAAAGUUUUCUAAGCAAAUUCAAUCAAUCUCUAUUUUUUGGGCUUAUUGAAGCUUCUACCUUUAAACUUGAUUUUUGGGUUUCUUAAAGCUUUCAUCUUCGGGUUUUAUUUAGCUUCCCAAGCACAUUCAUCUCUAUAUUUCGGGUUUAUUAGAGCCAUUUUUUAUUUCUUAAAGUUUUUUAUCUUUGCUUUCCAUGAAGUUUACCAAGCACAUUUGGUCUCCAUUUAUGACUUUCUUGAAGCAUCCUCCCUUUUUGGGUUUCUUAAAGCUACCUUCAUGUUUGGGUUUCCUACAGCUUUUCCAAUAUACUUUACAAUCGCGUCUGUAGCACAGAUUUUGCAAUCAAAAUUUCGUAGUCCAUCUGCAAUUACGAUUCUGUAGCACAGUAGCGAUGAUUCUAUAGUCCAAAUUCUGUAGGCACGAUCUACAGUCACGAUUGUAUCAAGAUUCUGCAGUCACGUUUGUAAUCUGCAGUGAUAUCUGUAGUCCAGAUUCUAACCACGAUUUUGUAGUACAUAUUUUGAGGUUAUGAUUAUGAGGUUACCAUUCUAAGGGUGAGUUUGGAUGGGCGGUGCGUUUAUCUGCGGUUAGUGUAAAAACAGCGGUGGUUAUGAGAUUAGAUACUGUAGCGUGAGAUAAAAAGUAAGCUAAACGCACCCACUGCACCAAAUCGCCCAUCCAAACCCACCCUAAAGCUACUCUUAGACUAUAUAGAAAAACUCACAUCAAACUUCUGAUAUCGACUUAAAUGGUAGAAUGACCAAAAACUAAAAUUUCAAAAAAGUUAAUAAUUGAAUAAAAAAGUUUUCAUUGAGUGAUCAAAAUAAAAAUACUCUCAUAAUUGAAUACUUCAUGUAGCUUACCUAAUAAAAAUACUAGAAAGAUAGGAAGGUUGAAAUUUAUAAUAAAGCAACUCCAAAAUCAAACAUCACAUGAACGUACAAGCAGUUUGGAGGUAGCUUGAAUUAUCAAAAGAAACUCUUCCAGAGGAAGACUUUGAUUUAGAUACAUGGGAGUACUUGAAAGCCUUGAGAAGCCAAUGUUGAUGAGCUCAUAGUAACUCGUUAUUGCAGACACACUACACAUGAUGAAACAAACUACAUAAUAGUCUUGAAAAAAACACAAAUCAUGGGCAGGUAAUGCAACUUCAUGAUCUGGAUUUUAUUUAUUCGCAUUACAAUUUCGCCAAUGGAUCCUAUAGCCCCAUUGCAUUCAAGGUUUAGUUGGCAACUCCUAGCAGCCGCGACCGCGUUUAUAAACGGAACAGGGUGGGGCCAUAGAAGGAGUUCCAGGUAUGCAGGAUUUAUAAGGCCUUCCACGGCCACAAUUUCGAGGUUCAUUAUGUUCACCCGGCGUAGCAGGGAUAAACACUGGUGGAUCAUUGAUGUCUGCAAAAUUAACAGCCAUAUAUUUCCCAUUUUAUAUCCAUAUCAGGCUAAAGUGCUAUAUAAGCGGAUAAAGGUAUAUAAGCCCUUGAACUUUUGCGAAAAAAUCAAUUAAGCCCUCUGCAGAAAACGUACUCAAUUAAGUCUUUAAACUCUCAAAUUGCAUCAAAUUUUUAUUUAUAAUUUUGAUAAAUUUUAAUAAUAUUAUUUAUUUAUAAUUUUAAAACAUAAAAUUUUUAUAAUUUUUUAAAAAUUUUAAGUCAAAAUCAAAUUGUGCAAGCAUUUGUCCAGGUCAUCCUAGUAAAUUUUUUUUUACUUCUUUUGAAAUUUUUAUUUUUCAAAAAAUUUAUUAUUUUUAUUUUGUUGACAUCAGCAACUGUCAUUGACAUGGAGCGUCAUGUGAGCGCUAUUGAUGGUCACAUCAAUACUGUAACGGUUAAAGAUGAUCAAAAGACUUAAUUGAUGCAAUUUGAGAAUUUAAAGGUUUAAUUGUAUGCACUUUUUACGGAGGGGCUUGUUGAUUUUUUCGCAAAAGUUCAGCUGCUUAUAUACUUUUAGCCUAUAUAUAAUUAAAACCAUCCAUAUGUAAAAAAAAACUCAAUCGAAUUGAAUAAUCAACACAACACAUCCAAGUUCUUAUCCAUAUAAUGUUUAAUAUUAUUUGAUUGUGAUUCAACUAUACUAUACUAAUGUUAUAUAUAUUGCUUUAAGAUGGAAAAUAAAUGAAAAAUAGAAUAAAAGUGUUAAAUUUGUUGGUAAUGUGACUUAUCCUUCUAGAUAAGUUAUAAAAAAAAAUCAAUAUAAUCAAACAAUGAACGCAAAACACUCAAAUUCAAAACUAUUUAAUAAUAAUUUGAGUAGUUAUUGUAUGCGUAUAUAUGUAAAUAUAUUGCUUGAUUAUAUAAAAUAAAAUUGGAAAUUUAUAUAGAAGUAAUAAACUCGUUGAUGUGAUUACUUACCCUUCUCCCCCAGACGUCGAGCCAUGGUGAAAGUAGGGAUAAAAAGAGUGGAAGCCAGGAGAAUGCAUACCAACACUAAUAAUGCUUUCAUUUUUGGGGGUAUAUUGUUGUUAUUAAUAGUAGGUAGUUUGUGUGAAGCAUGGCUUUUCUUUCGACUACUAUUUAUAGGUCGAUGUCUCAAGUGUGUUGUGGCUACUGUUCAAAGAUAGUUUGAUAAUAAAUUAUUAUUCACUCUAUAAAACUAGCAAAAUUGACAAAGGGAGGACUGAAGAAAUUUCCACGGCAGGCAAUAGGUUAUAACUUAUUUCUGUUUUUUUUUAAUAAUUUUAUUAUAGGUUCUGAUCAUAUAUGUUUUUUUACACAAUGUUUAGAACUACCUAUAGUCCCUCCCAACUCAUAAAUAGGAGGAUAAUGCACUUCAGCGCACUCGAACUUACAUUCUUUUACAUUGGAAAUAAUGUCCAUACCAAUUGAAUUAAAGACUCAAUCAGCUACCUUCUAUCCUUUUAUGGCCAUAUUUCCAUACAAAAAUCAAAUUUUUAGCGGUUGUCACUUUUAUUAUUCUCACUGGGAAAAAUAGAAACAUUAUUAGUGAUGAACUUUAUGAAUUCAAGAUGUAAGGAGAAAAUUUGAGGAUCAAAUUUAUGUUUAAUUAUAUAUAAUAUAUAAAAAUAUAAUUUGUUCGAUGUCAUUGAUAUUUGUUGGGUCUAGUAGUAAGGAGUUCAAUACUUUUUUGAAUUUGAACCUUGUAGAUAAAGAAAACAAUUUCAAAAAAAACUUUAACCUCCAUUUAAGAACCCAAUUCAAUUCAACUUCAAAUUUAAUGAUCAAAUAUUGAAGGAUCUCAUGAAAAAAAUCUUGUUUAACAACAACUCUUUUAGAAAGAAAAUAGACUUUUAUUUUAUAGUUGAUAUAUCAAUUUCUUAUUUCUAAUGAUUUGAUUUUAAUCUUUCUUAUCAUAUUAUAAUAUAUGAAAAUAUGAUUUGAUGGCACUGAUACUUGUUGGGUUCAGUAGUAAGGAGGUCAAUGCAUUUUUGGGUCCUAAUCUUGUAGAUGAAGACAACAACACUAGAAAAACUUUACCCUCCAUUUAAAAACCCAACUUAAUUAAACUUCAAAUUUACUUAUCAAAUAUUGAAGGAUCUCAAGAAAAGAAAAUCAUUUUCUACAACAAUUCUUUUAGAAGGAAAAUAGACUCUUAUUAUAUAGUUGAUGUAUCAAUUUCUACAUUGCAAUUAUUUGAUUUUAGUUACAUUUCAAUUUUGUUAAUGAAAGAUAGCAACAUCCACCCCAAGUCUCAAAUGACUUGUUAGACCAUGAUAAUAAGGACAAAUAUGUUAAUUGUUAAGCAUUACUAACUCGUACAAUGUGGGAUCACUUCUUACACCAAUACUAAAUAAAAAGCAAGCUUGAGGACCAAUCAUAGGACCAUGAGGUAUUACUUGUCUCUCAUCUUUAUCUUCUUCACUAAGUUAAUAUACUUUUACUCUCUCCAUAGUCAUAAAUCCUUAAUUAACUUAAGUAUCAAAGAACAAUUAAAAUGUCAAAUCCGAUGCCCCUUAGCUUACCCUUAAGUCGUGCAGAUCGAGUCAAGCCUCUUGAAGCACCUCAACAAGUUUGGUCUACACCAACCCAAAGAAGACACUAAUAUGUGGUGCUAGCUUUGGGAACUAAGCGAAAACCCAUGGAUUAGUCUUAACAACCUAUUAAGCUCCAAUUCUUUUCCCAAGUUUUUGUCUAAGCUCCUACUUUUUCCAUUGGAAAUUUUAUAAAACCUUCAUUUUUGGAUUUUAGAAAGUUUCUCAAACACAUUUAUCUCCAUUAUUUUGGUUUAUCGAAUGAAAGAAUUGGUAUAAAAUAGAAAGAAAUAUCUAGCCAAACAGAUAGCAAGAUAUAAAUUGAAAAACUUCUUUUGUUUGUUUAUUCAAAACCUUACUCUCUGAAUACACAUGUUCAGUAUUUAUAGACAUGAGUAACCGCUCCAUAUUGAGCAACAACCUUCACCGGAUACAUAACUAACUAACAACCUUCAAUACUCUAAUAUUCAUCCAUCUUCCCCACAGGCAAGACCCGUAGAAAACUCUGAAAUCGAGUAAAAAUGGAUAGUGAAAGUGGCUUAGUUAGAACAUCAGCAACUUGAUCACACGCCGGAACCUCGCCAACGGCAACAGUACCAUCAGCAACCUUUUCACGAACAAAAAACAAAUCUAAUUCAACAUGCUUAAACUUUGAAUGAAGAACAGGAUUAGCAGCAACUGCAACCGCACCAGAACUAUCACACCAAAUAUUUGGAAUACUAGAAGACCGAACAUGUAAUUCUUGAAGUAACGACAAAAGCCAUGUAACCUCACUAGUGACCGCAGCAAGACUCCGAUAUUCUGCCUCAGCAGUAGACCGAGCAACAACAUGUUGUUUCUUCGUACACCACGACACAGCAUUACACCCGAAAUAAACACAGUACCCAGUAGUAGACCUCCGGUCAUCAAAAUCUAACCCCCAGUUUGCAUCAGCAUACCCAACUAAGGACAGAUUAGUUGACGGACGAAAUACAAUCCCAAAUUCAAUCGUUCCACCUAAAUACCUCAAAAUACGUUUUAGAGCUAUCAUAUGAACAGAAGUGGGACAAUGCAUAAACUGACAUAUUCGAUUCACUGCAUAUGCAACAUCAGGUCGCGUAAGAGUGACAUACUGUAGUGCCCCAGCAAGACUCCUGUAUUCAGUUGGAUCCUCUAAACGCUAACCACCAUCUUUAGUUAAGAAAGAAGAACUAACCAUCGGUGUAUUAACACUCUUCGCAUUUUCCAUCGAACACCGAAUAAGAAUAUCAUGUAUAUACUUCUUCUGACACAGAUGAAGACAACCUGACGAAGAACGAGUAACUUCUAUCCCAAGAAAAUAGUGAAGAUCGCCCAUGUCCUUAAGCGAGAACUCACUAUUCAGUAAUUGAACAAACCACUCUAUCACAGAGGGCACAUCACCUGUAACAAUAAUAUCAUCAACAUACACAAGAAUAUACAACGUUGAACCUGAUAUGACCCGAACAAACAAGGAAGCAUCCAACUUCGAUACAACAAAGCCCACAGAUACGAGAAAUCCUUUUAGCUUCUCAAACCAGGCACGAGGAGCCUGACGAAGACCAUACAACGCUUUCUUCAGAUGACAUACCAGAGGUCUGCCAUCGGAACCAUACUGGACAUAGCCAGGAGGUUGAUGCAUGAAGACUUCAGUAUCAAGAUCUCCAUUUAGAAACGCAUUAUUCACAUCCACUUGUCGAAGGGACCACCCCCUAGACACAGCAAUAGACAAAAUAACUCUGAUAGUAGCCGGUUUUACCACCGGGCUAAAUGUUUCCUUAAAAUCACAACCUGGAAUCUGAGAGCAGCCUUUUGUGACUAAUCGAGCCUUAUGGCGAGCAAUAGUGCCAUCAGAAUUCCUCUUAAUUCUGAACAACCAUUUGCAUCCUAUAACCUUACGACUAGAUGGAGCAGAGACUAGCUCCCAUGUGGAAUUGCGCAUAAGAGCAUCAUACUCAUCUUGCGCAGCAGCACGCCACUCAGCAGUAGCCAGAGCUUCUUCAAUUGUAGAAGGUUCGUUAGCCUCAACAUGUAAAACCUUAGGCUUGUAAACUCCCGCUUUAGCUCGAGCGACCAUUGGGUGAGUAUUACCCACAGGUGGUCUACUAACUUGACUGUCAAACGAAGACGAAACGCCUUCAGACAUUCUUGAGAUAGAAUGAGGAAGAUCAGUAAAAUCACCUGGUGAAGCCGACUCAUGUAAAAUUGGAAGAGCAUCCGACCCAGACCCAACAUCCGAAGAAGCAUGAGAUUGUACCAAAUCUGUAUCUGAUGUAGAAAUAUUAGGCUGAGACUGGACCCCUUGAAAAGAUGGUGACACCACACAAGGCACAUGAGACGACGAAGAAGAAAAAGUAGGCCACACAAUGGGAACAUCAUUCACACUAGUUUGACUGGUCUUCGUCAUAGACUUAUCAGGGCUAGACUCAGCAAACAAAAAACCUCUGCUUAUCAAACACGACAUGUCUCGAAAUAAUAACCUUACCAUCUGGUAAAAGAUACUGAUACCCCUUGUGACAAGGACUGUAACCCAACAACGUAGCCGGCUGAGACCGAAAAUCCAGCUUAUGACCGACAAACGGACGUAAAUAAAGAUAGCAGCAACAGCCAAAAACUCGAAGAUGAUCAUAGGUCGGAUCAUUACCAUAAAGUGCCUUAAACGGAGAAUUGCCAUGAAGCACAACAGUGGGAAGUCGAUUGAUCAGAUGAACCGCGCAACAGAACGCAUACCCCCAGUACUCCAUAGGUAAACUCACAUGAGCCAAUAACGUAAUACCCACUUCAACAAUGUGACGAUGUUUACGCUCAGCCACUCCAUUUUGUUCAGAAGUUUACGGACACAUUAAUCGAUGAAUAAUUCCCUGGGAUUCCAAAAUAGAUGUAAAACCACGGUAUUCUCCUCCCCAAUCACUCUGAAACUGCUUAAUAGACUUGCCAAACUGUGUCUCAAUUAACUUUUGAAACUGAGUAAAAUAUUCUAUUGCUUGAGCUUUUUGACGUAGAAGAUAAACCCAGGUAAACCUAGUGCACGUGUCAAUAAACGAAACAUAAUAUCUCUUUUCAUCAUAUGCAACAGAUGCGGGACCCCAAAGAUCAGAAACAUCUAACUCAAAAUGUUGAUAACUAGUAGUAGAAGGUGAAAAGGGUAACUUAUGUGACCGCCCUUUUUGACAUGCAGUACAUACACCAUCAAAUCCAUUUUUACUUGAAACAAUAUUACAUUUAUUUAGAAUAGUCUUGACCACAGACGCAGACGGGUGGUCUAAACGAUUAUGCCAUAAAGCAAACACAGAACAAUCAUCAACUGAACGGGGAACUUGCGAAUGAGCAACAAAUGGAUCAACAUUGGUCGAAUGAGAAACCACCAGCACAGAGAACUGAUAUAAUCCAUCACGAAUGCGGCCCGUCAGCAAUGUCUCUCGAGUCACAGCAUCCUUAAUAACACAAUGGGUAGGGUGAAACUCAAAAAACACACCAUUAUCACGAGCAAACUGUGAGACAGAUAAGAGGUUUUUCCGUAUACUCGGCAUACAUAAAACAUUUGACAAUCGUAACGACUUAGACUGAGUCGGUAAAAUAGCAGUACCAAUUGAGGAAAUUACCGCAGGAGUACCAUCACCCAUUAAAAGAGAUGACUUACCUGAAUAUGGCGUAACAUCACGUAAAACUGACACAUCACGACACACGUGAUGAGCCCCAGAGUCAGGGUACCAAGACGUGGUUCCACCACCUACCUGAACGAACGAACUAUCACCACUAGUACUAGACCCAAGUUGAGCCGUAUGAACAUGCGAACCAGAUUCUGAUGACUCAGAAUAAUCAGAUGCACAUAAGUCCCCUAGCUGGGGAAGCCCAAUACACGGUUCAGACCCAGUAUAAACUCGAGCACGCGGUUUGGUAAGUCAAAAACCUGAAUCCCCAAAAUCUAAUCCAUCACAAAUUGGUUCAGGCGAGCCAGGAUCGGUUUGAUCCACUUGAACAAAAUUAGAUGAUGGUGCAUUAUUCGGCCCAUCAUUAAAGUGAACAUUUUUAAUAUUGGACCCACGUGAUGGAUGUUGAAUAUGUGGCCCACGUGAUGUAUGUUGAACAUGCGGCCCAUGUGACGCACAAUGUCCAUUUACAUCAUUAAACCCAUGUGACGUGUGUCACCAUGGUGCACAAACCCCCCUGAAUCAUGACCUUCAACACCGGACGACUCAUUCGAAUCUCGGUGAUAACGAUAAUAAUAUUUUUGCACCACAUGCCCGAAACGACUGCAUAUUUGGCAUUGCACACGAGAUCUGAAGACUCUGCCAUGACCACGAACAGGCGCACGACCACCACGACCGGCCCCUUCCACCGACGGCUCGUUUUCAACAAGAUUUGCAUUUAAAUUGACCUCCUGCAACACCUGAACUUGACGAGUCUCACAAUCAACCAACGUAUCAACCACACGCUUUAACGGCAGUACACCAGUCGACAAUCGAACAGACGAGAUGACCGCCUCAUAUCCCGACGGCAAUCCCGCAAGCACCACUUCAACCUUCUCUUCAUCAGAGAUACGCGAACCAGACGCAUCUAACAUAGCACAAAGAUCUUUAAUCUUAGCAACAUAAACUUUAAUAGAAAGGUUACCUUUCUUCAAAGAAUGAAGCUCAUGCCGAAGUCUCGACUGCUUUGCGCCAGUAUCAGCCGCAAACAGAUUAAUGGCCAUAGUCCAUAUGUCACAAGUCGUGCAAGCAUCAUCAAAGGAAGAUUGAUGAGAAGAGCUUACAGUUGACAAAAGCCAGGAUGUCAGAAGUCGAUCUUGCUGCAUGAACACCUAAGCCGCCGGAUUUGGAGCACGCGAGCCAUCGGGUAGAAGAUUGAAACGUGAUGGUGGAGCAAUGGUGCCAUCUAAGAAUUCGGUAAGCCCAUAGCCAUCAACUAUCAGUUUUACCUGUUUGCGCCAUUGAAUAUACGUACAUUCAUCAAGUUUGACGACUUCAUGCUGAGGAAAGACAUUUGUGACACGAUCGACAGCAAACACACCGGAGCUAGGUUCACCAGAUUCGGAAUCAACGGAAGCCAUACUAAGCAAAGUCCAGAAUCAACUGGUGAAUGAUACCAUGAAAGAAUUGGUAUAAAAUAAAAAGAAAUAUCUAGCUAAACAGAUAGCAAGAUAUAAAUGGAAAAACUUCUUUUAUUUGUUUAUUCAAAAACCUUACUCUCUGAAUACACAUGUUCAGUAUUUAUAGACAUGAGUAACCACUCCAUAUUCAGCAACAACCUUCACCAGAUACAUAACUAACUAACAACCUUCAAUACUCUAAUAUCGAAGGUUCUACUUUUUCAAUCUCGGUCAACAAUUGAUCAAAAUAAAAAAAUGUUUUUUCAUAUUUAAAUAUUUAAUAUUAUAACUUUCUAUUUUUAAUUUAAUUUAAUGUUUUUAUUUUAAACAAAACUAAUUGUCAUGUGAAAUUUUUUCAUUGACCAUAAUAUGCCAAAUGGCACUCUUUCAUUAGUCAAAGUUGUCUAACAGUUUUUUUAACGUUCGUUGUAAAAUGAACUGAAAAUAGAGGAAAUUGAUACUUUAAGUACCAAAUUGAAACAAAAAAAAAUAGAUACUAAAGUAAAAAAAACGAACAGAUAUGCUUUAAGAGCUAAAUUGUAAUACCCUAAAAUUUAAGGUUAGAAGUUUUGAGGUUGUGGUUAGGGUCAUUAAAUAGGUCAAGCAAUUGAGUGGGUUUUCACGUUUUAAUGUCAAAAUAAGCUUGUUGGUUCAGUGGUGGUGAAUGUGUUAGUUUACCUUUAUGUUUUGGGUUCAAGUCCUCAUGUGUGUUUUGAGGAAUUAAUUUGUUUUGAUUUUGGUUUUGGUUUUCAAUUUUUAAAGGUUUACUUUUAAAAUUUGAAAGAGGAGGUUUUUUAGUUUCACGUUCUUUUCCAUUUCCUUUUCCCUUUUUUUUGUUGUUCCCUCUGUUAUUUUUUGGUUCUUUCCCCCAAAUUUCAGUUCUUUUGAUUUCUUGUUUCGUCCGUUUUACACUUAAGUUAUGUGUUGUCUGUCAAGGCUGAUCGUCCUCAUGUGUUUCGUUUUAUCGGAGGUGAAGCGAAUAGGUUUUGCUCAUGAGGGUUUAUGAUAGAAUUGAUUCUAUUUCUAUUAUUUGUUAAUUGAAGUUCUUAUAGUUUAAGUUUAUGUGUGAAAUUGAGGUUUCCGAACAGUUUGGUGAGAGUGAAUCGAUCGGUUCUUGGUGCUUGACAUCGUGUUCUAAGGUGUGUGUGUGUUAUGAAACGGUUUAACUUUGGUAUCGAGUUACGGUGGAAUUCGAUAAUGUCUUGUGUGUUUCUGAAAUUGGUUAUUUGAAGCAUCAUAUUGUUACUGAAUUGCAUGAAAUUCUUUAUGUUUUGGCAUAAUUCUGGGUUACCAAGGGUUGGGGAUCAUUUUGACAUCAAAAGCAUGAUUUUCAAGUUGUUUCGGAGUGGUUUCAUGACCACAAGGGUGGCCACACAAGCCUGUGUUGUACACGGGAGGUCCACACGAUCGUGUGCUGUACACGGGCGGUCCACACGACCGUGUGUAAUUGGGAAUUUAGGGUUUUUGAUGAUUUUUGGUACCACAUGACCUGGUCACACAUGCAUGUGUCCCCACACAGGCGUGUGAGAUCUCCAUACGAUCGUGUCUCCUCUGUUUUUUAUUUUUGGCACUUUUGGACAGUGAGUUUCACGGGCAACUCAUACGACCAUGUAAAUUGGUCACACGGGCAUGUGUCUCCUCCACAUGGGCGUGUAGGCCUCUAAACAGCCUAGACAUUUCCACACGAUUGGGGCACAUGGCCAUGUGGCCCUAUUUUGCAGAAUUUUUGUUUUGAGUCAUAAACUGUCUAUUUUAUGUUUCUAUGUAAUCUAACCCUCGGUCAAGCCUCGGUAAGUGUGUUUGGGAUUUGAUUUAGUUUGGUUCAUGUAUAUGUGUGUUUAUGGGCUUUAAUUUUAUUGCUCAUUUAUGUGAUGAAUAAGUAUGAUUUUAUUAUUGUUCUUGUAACUGAAUAUUAGAAUACAAGUGUAAUCAAAUCUGAAUCUGUUCAACUGGAAAUGUUAAUAUCCGUUUCUGUAUGUUGUCUGUGCAAUGCGUGCAUUGUUGCAUAGCAUGAAAAUUUUGGGAUCUGGUUAUGAAGAGAAGGAAGAUAGACUUAGUAGCUUUAACUGCGAUACUUUUGUACAAUAGUUUACCGCACUAUCCUAUACAUAUAUCAGCUCAACUAAAUACAGUUUCUCAAGUAGCAUAGUUCCACGUUGUAGUAUGUAGGAUGAACCUAUUAUGGUUCUAUAUGGUGUGCAAGGUGGACUAGCCUACCAUAUCCCUUAUGUGGUGUGUUGGAUGGACGAAGUGGUGUUUGGUUGGUGGGGUGGGAUUUUUAAGGUGUUACAUAAAUUCUGGGGUGUUGGGGUGUUACAUAAAUUCUGAACUAAGCCUUUUUUAUUUUAUAAUAGCAGAAAAAGCACAUUUUUUUUUAUCAUAUUGUAUUAUUGAUCCCAAUUAAUCUUAUAUCAGAUUUAAAAGAUAAAUGAAACAAUAAGUACUAUAGUCUAUAUCCAUAUUUCUUCCUUUUCCCUUCACUUAAAUUUUAUAAAAAAAAAAUGCCAUUAAUCCAAGACUUUUUGCGGCGAAUUUUAGUAUAAAUGUCGCUCUAUUUAUGGUGCCAAAAUAUUCACAUGAAAUUGUUGUGAAGCAGGUGAUGAAACUUGAAAUUAGCGACGUUUUAUACAGUAAACGUCGCAACUUUUGUCACAAUGGGUGGUGUGUUACUUUGAAACGCAGCGGUUAAAAGUAAUACAUGGCGACAUUUUUUUCUAAAAGCACCACUAGUUAUGCCAUUGUAUGUAGAAUUAGAUAUAGUGCUUGGUCUCUCUCUAAUUCUAAUCUUAUCACUGAUAUCUCCACUAAGAUCUUAAGUGAUUCUUUUUGACCCCUGAAUAGUAGUUGGAAUCGUUCAAUGUUGUUAUCUAAGUCAUCAUUUGGAUCAAUAAUAUUGGUUUCAUAAGUAUACAAUAGGCAUUUCAACAAUAUCUUUUUUUAUACAAUGUUUAGAAUUAUUUAUAAUCAUUCAUAAAUUCUUAAAUGGGAGGAUAACUACGUUUUAGUGUGCUCAAAUUCACGUUUUCGUGUACUAGUAACAAUGGCAAUACCAACAUUAACCAAAAUAAGACUUAAUCAACUUUUGUAAUAAUAUCUUUAAUGCUUGAUGCAACGGUGACUGAGUCAAGCACUAGUGCAGUUAAUAAAUUAUUAUUUAAUUUUCAAAUUAAUAUAUAAUUUUUAUAAAAUUUUGGCUAUUAAUUAAUUAUUAAAUAAUUCUUCUCAAAUGAUAGAAAUAUUGACUGACAUCAAGUCCAUUAACUAAGAUAUUUUUAUUGAUAAUUUCAAAGUUAUCUUAUUGUAGUUGAAAGAAAAGUAUCGAAAAUGAAAUAUCAUGAAAUUUGGCUGGCAAAAGCAAUAAAUGAGUGCAUUAAAAUUUACUACUUAUUUUUAACACAAAAUAAUUAUAGCUCUUUUCUUUUUCUUUAUGCACAUUAGAGGCGUUAAUAGGCAAGGUUGGAUUUUAUAUUUUUUUAUGCUUGGCCCGACUUAUAAUGAGUACUUGAUUUAUAGUGGUAUAAAAAAACGAUUUCGAGAUUCUAUUUCCGUCAACCGAGUCCGUAAAUAUUAAAUAGGGAUAUUUACGGAGUUAGUGUAUAAAUGAAUUGAAAUUGGAUUAAAUGAUUUAUUCGAAAUUCUGGUUAAUUAAGACCUAAGGAUUAAAUUCGCUAUAAAUUUUUAAUUAGGAAAAUACUUCGGGACUUAAAUAGCGAUUAUCCAUAAGAUUAAAAUAGUUGAUAGACCAACUUAAAAUAUAUGAUGAUGGGAUGUGAUUGUAAUAAGCCCAAUUUUACCCGGGCCCUUACAAAACAAAAAAUAAGCAGUCCCAUGUUACAGGCCUAAUACCCACCUAAGCCCAAUUACCCAAACAAUAACCGAACCAGCCCAAAACUAAACCCUAGAACCUUCAGCAGUUAGCAACAUCUCCAGCGCCGCAUCAUCUUGCGUAGUCCCCUCUCCAGCCGCCGCAAUAUUCGGAGCUAGCCUCCUCCACGCGCGCCGCUUCUCUACGCACGCCAUGCCUUGCGCACCGCACCUGCAACAACAAAUAAAAACAAACCGCAACAAAAUAAUAGGGAUAGCAGAAUAGAUUUUGUUUUUUGAAUUUAUUUUUAUUUUCCAUUUUCGGCUAUAAAAGGCCAAUAUUUUCAGUGUAAAAAGAGGGGAGAAAAAACACAAAUUUUUUAAUGUAAAGGUGAUCUUUUACUUUUUUUUGCUUUUGUUUUAUUUUCUUUUUAUUUUUUUUAUUUUUCUUAAAAUAAUAAAAGGGGAAGAAGAGGAGACUCACCUUUUGUUUCUGCCGAAAUCACCCAGUUGUUGCCGGCUUCGUCGUGAUCGGGGCUCUGGCAUAAGGCUGAACGGUGGCAUUUGGGGGUUGAAGAAACCCUAAGGAAAUUGUUUCCUUUGCUGAAGGGGGAAACAAAAUUAACUUCUGGUUUUUGUUGUUAAAACCUAAAGAAGAAACAAGAAACGGCGCCGUUUAGCUUUGGGGGGGGUCCGCGCGUCUCCACCUAAAUGGGGAAAUUGCGCAGUUAGCCCUCCCCCUUUUGUGACGCGUUUUAAUCAAGUUCUUUUUCCUCCUUAAAAUUUGGCCCAAAUAUUUUACCCGCGUGACGAUUUAAUCCAGUGCUGCGCAGCAUGUAGGAGGGAGGGAUUAAUUCCCCUUUUGGUCCUCCAUUGUUUCCUGCCCAAUCAAGUUGGUCCUAUUUUUUUAAUUUCUUUUAAAUUCCCCCCAUUUAUUCGUUUUUAAUUCAAUUUAACCCAUUUUUUAGUUUUUAUCACAAUUACGCCAUACUAUUAUUUUGUUUUAUUUUUUUACUACUAUAAUACUAUAUAUUAUUAUUAUGCGCAUAUGCAUGUUAAUAUGUAUAUACUUUAAUAUUUUAAAUAUAUAUAUAUAUAUAUCUAUUGUAUGCACAUUGUAUUAUUACUUUGUUUUCAUAGUUUUUUAUACAUAUAAAUAUACAUACAUACAUUUUUUAAAAGAUUUUUUUUACAUACACUUUUCAUUUUUUAAUUAUUAUAUUUUUUUGUUAGUUCAUGUAUCCCAUUAUUUUAUUUACAUAUUGUACAUAUAUAUAUAUAUAUUUGAAUAUAUGCAUAUACGAAUUUCCACAAUUGGCCUAUGUAUAUAUACUUAUACAUUUCAUUUUUCUUGCCUUUGUAAAUAUGUACACAUUUGCAUAUUUUCAUACUUUUAUUUUAUUUUUACAAUUUUCAUUACAUAUAUACAUGCAUAUUUUUAGAAAUUAUUAUAAGUUUGUUGUAUAUAUUUCUUCACUUACCCUUUUUAUAUGUACACUUAUAUUUGUGUGCUAAGUAUGUGCCCACUCGUAUUUUCGAAUUUGCUUGUAUAUUGUACUUGUAUAUAUAUAUUGUAAGUACAUACUCAUAUAUGUUUUACAUUAAAGUUUUUGUUUCAUAUUGUACAUUAACUUUAACAUACCCUUUUAGAAAAUACAUUUUGGUUUUAACUAUACAUCAAGGUUAUUUUCUUGAUUCAACGGGUUUUUUUUAAUAAAAGCAAUAUUCGAAGUUUGGGAUUUUCGAGGGAAAUUAAGCCCUAACGUAUUGGGUUCUGAUUUUCUUUGUUAAUCUUAAAUAACUGAGUAUAUUUAUUCAAAACGCAUGAGUAUAAAAAUCAUUUUUGGGAACUUAACUUGUUGUGUCCUAACGUAUUGGGUGUGGCAUGUUACUUUCUCAAAAUGAAGAUUUUUGCAUAAAAUAAAAGUGAUAUUCAAAGUUCGGGAAUUAUGAGGAAUUGUACCCUAACGUAUUGGGAAUCGAUUUCUUUACAUGACUUGAACAAUUGAUUAUCCUUUUUCAAAUUUCAUCAUUUGAGUUGAUUUUAAAAUCUUUUUUAACCUUCGACACUAAGACAUUAAAUGAUCAAUCUGGUACCGAUUUUGGGCGUUACGAGGGUGCUAACCCUUCCUCGUGCGUAACUGACUCCCGAACUCGUUUUCUCAAAAUUCGUAGACCAACAUAAUUUUUAAGGUGAGCCGAUCACACCUUAAUAAAGGAUCGGUGGCGACUCCAGUUUUAUUUUUAAAGUCGACAACUAAAUUUUUGUUUUUCAAAAAACGAUUUCGACGGUGAUGUUAAAAUGUCUUUAGAUUAAAUUAAUUAAUGUUUAAUGUUUAAUUAACUUAAUUAAUUAAGUUUAAUUAUUUAUUAAACUAACCAUAUAAGUCAAAUAAGUGGAAAAAGAUGAGAAAAAGAAUCAUCAUCUUCAAUCUCAUCACCGUCCACCAUUUCUAAGAAAGGAAAAAGCUUUUGAAACUUUUAUACAUUCGACUAUAAAUUAUAAGUAAGUACUUAGUCUUUUUUUUUUUUAUAGAUUUGAGUUUAUGAGAGUUUGAUUUAGCUAGCCUGUGUACUAAUUUUUGAAUCUGUUAAAGUUUUUAAAAAUUUUCAUCAUUAGGAAAUGGAUGAAUUUGGUGUAAAUUUGAUAGAAAUUAAACUUAGUUUAUGAAAAUGACUAAAUUGUAAAACUUAAUUGUUAGUUUCGUAUAUUAAAAAUUAAAUUGAAUAAAAUGUAAAACUGUUAUGAAAUUUCAAUAGGAAUGAAAAUUGAUAGUUUCAUACAUUUUUUUCUAAAAGCACCACUAGUUAUGCCAUUGUAUGUUGAAUUUGAUGUAGUGUUUGGUCUCUCUCUAGUUCUAAUCUCAUCAUUGAUAUCUCCACUAACAUCCUUUAUUAAGUAAUUCUUUUUAACCCCCGAAUAAUAGUUGGAGUUGUUGAAUAUUGUUAUCUAAGUCAUCAUUUAGAUCAAUGAUAUUGAUUUCAUGAGUAUACAAUAGGCAUUUCAAUAAUAUCUUUUUUUUUCGUUGUAAAUGGCUCUAUUAGUCCGGGCCCGAUACACAAAGAAAAUAAUAAACCGAAUACAAAAAAUAUAAAAACCAAAUAAAUAAAGCCCAGAAUUAUAACCCAAUAAUAAACAAAAAGUGGCCCAAAUGUCAUUAGCCCAAUACCCAUUGCAAACCCUAGCCCAAAUAACCUAAACCUAACAGCAAACAAAAUCUAGCAGCCUCCAGCACAACAUCCAGUCGUCGCACGACUCUGAACCAGCCCUCCACCAUGUCUGCCUACAAAACGGACUAGGAGAGUCCAAUACCAACACAAACACAGUGUAAAAGUAGAGAAAAUAGGAAAAUUUCAGGCUAUAAAAGGCCCCGAUUCUAUGUAUGAUUUUUUAUGAAUAAAUAAAAAAGGAAAACGGAGAAAUCAAGUCAAAUACCAGUCUUUUACAAAGGUUAUUUUUUAUUUCGGCUUAUUUAUUUAUUUAUUUAUUUGUUCUAAAGAAAACGAAAAUAAAAAGGUUAAAAAUCGUACCUUUAUUGUGAAGGAGGUGCUGAUUCUGAUGAAAAUCGACGUUCCAUGGGUCCGGGGAUUGAAAAAACCAAAAAAAUGGUGACUUUUCAUUUUUCGGCCACCGUGGGCAGCGGCCAUCGAGGUGGUCUGACGACCGGAUAUUGGCCGGAGAGGGGAAAGCUGAGAGAGAGUUGAGAGAAAAGAGAGGUUUUUUUUAAAAGGAGGCUACAAAUGUAUUUUUAGGGUUUUUUUUUACUUAUAUAGACACCCCAAAACGACGUUGUUUCAGGCCCUUGACCCGCGCGGUGACCCAACCCAGGGGAAGGAUCCGCGUGUUUUUGGAAUUUGGGUUAUUUACCCUUUCUGUCCUUCCGCUUUUUUGGUUUAUUUUAAUUUAGUCAUUUAUUCUUUUAUUGAUUUGGCCAUUAAACUUUUGCGUGUUUCAAUUUAGUCCCUGGCUCGCUAGAAGGGACAUGUGUCCAGGGAAUCGGGCUAUUUGCCCAUUUUGUCCUCAACCUUUGCCCGCCAUUUGACUUUAGUCCUCUUUAUUUAUUUAUCUAUGAUUUUUACCCUUUAAUUUCAUUUUUUGUCCAGAUUUAGUCCCAAACCAGUUAGACUUCAAUUUAUUUUUGCCGAUUAUUUAUUUAUUUAUUUAUUUUAAAUUGUUCUAUUAUUAUUUACUUCAAGUUUUUUUAUAUAUUAUGCAUUUUAAACUAUAUUAAAUUAUUAUUCAUUUAUAUAUCCAUAUGUUAUUGGUUUUAAUUCUAGUUGUAUUUUAAAUUUUGUCUAUAUAUUAUUUAUUAUAAGCUAUAUAUAUUUUCUCCUAAAAUUAUUAUUACUUAUUUUAUACUUUCCUAUAAUAUAUAUACCACAUCUUUAAAUACCUUUAUAUGUAUGUAUUAUGUUAUGUAUGUGUGACAUUUUUUUUAAAUGAUUUUAUUUAAACUUGCUCUAUAUAUGUUGUCUUAUUUUGAAUUAAUUUGCAUACUCGUUGUUUCUAAAAAAGGGUUUUUUUAAAAAAAAUUGUUCUUAUAAUAUAUUUGUUGACACCCUUUUUUUGAUAAAACGGGGUCGACUUGGAUUUUAAAAAUAAAAAAAGGGAGUCGCCACCAAUCCUUUUUGAUGAUGUGUGAUCGGGUCACCUUGAAAAGUGGUUGUUUUUAAUAAACAAUUUAAUUUUAUUAAAACAACAAUUUUGGUCCACGAAAUUUAGAAAAACAGGUUCGGGAGUCGGUUACAUACGAGGAAGGAUUAGCACCCUCGUAACGCCCAAAAUUGGUACCUAGUUGAUUAGUUAAUGUCUUAGUGCCGAGGAUUGAAAACUUUAAAGAGAUUUAAAAUACGAUCUUUUAUUGAAACAUUUGUAUAAAUCAAAUUACUCGUUAAGACUCUCCCAUUUCAGAAAGAGAAAACGUCACACCCAAUGCCUUAGGGCACGAUAUUUUACCUCUUCAGAAAUGAGCUUGUCUAAAAACUUGCACAAUAUAAUUUAAAAGGGUAUUCAAUUGUUUAAGUCAUGUGAAAAUAUUGCAACCCAAUACGUGAGGGCACAAUUUCUCAAAAUAUUAAACAUUGAAUAUUGCAUUUUUUAGAAAAAUCCUCGUCUUGAGAAAACAACGUGUCAUAUCCAAUGCAUUAGGACACAACGUAUUGAAUUCUCGAUAAUGAGCUAUUUAUUUAUGCUUUUGUUUUAAACAGCACUCUCGAUUAUUUAGAUUCAACGAAGAAAAUUGGAACCCAAUACGUUAGGGCUCAAUUCUCUCGAAGAUCCCAAAUACCGAGUAUUGCUUUUAUUUUGAAAUUUUCAUUUUUUUGACAAAUCCGAGUAAAAAGAUGUAACGUAACAACAAUGAUGAUAAUGUGAGUAAAAUAACACAAGCAAAGGCUAUAAAAUAAAAUAAAAUAAAUAAAAAGACAAACUAAUAUAGUACACCAUAACAAACAUACAAACAAUAAUAUUAAAGCAUUCAUUCUAAAUAAUGUGAAUACAAAUAAAGAAAUAAAUAAAAAAAUGAAUAAGAUGAUGUAAAUGUAAAAGAUACAUACAUAUGUAUACAUUUUAAAAUUAUUAUAUAUAAAAAUGUAAACAAGCAAAUGCAUACACAUAUGCGUAUAUAUAUAUUAUAAAAGGUGUACAAAAGUAUGUUUUUAUAUACAUGUAUUUAUAAAAUGCGUAUAGAUAUAUAGAUGUGCAAAUAUAUGUGUAUAAAAAUUAUAGAAUAUAAAAAUAUGUAUAUAUAUAUAUAUGUUUGUAUGUAUAUAAAAAUAAGUUAUAAAAAAAAUGUACGUGCAUAAUACAUAUAUGUAUAUAUAUAUAGAAUAGAAAUAGAACUAAAAAAUAAUAUAAAACUAAUUAAUAUAUUAACAAAAUAGUAACGAAUAAAUGAAAGGAAAGUAAAACUAAUAAUAAUAAUAAUAUUAAUAUUAAUAAUAAUAAUAAUAAUAAUAAUUGCAGUGAUAAUAACAUUAAAAUAAUUAACUAAAUAAUAAAAUCGCUGAAAACACAGACUAAAUUGAAAUAAAAACGAAAAUGUUGGGUGAAUUCGAAAUAAAAAAAAAUGAAAAGGAUUAAAUUGCAACACGUGCCAAAAGAGAGGGACCAAAACAAUAAAUAAACCAAAGCCCCAAAACGCGGCGCUGCAAUGGACUAAAAUGUAACAAAAGUAAAACCAUACAGCUAAAUUAAAAUAAAAUAAAAGAAGGAAAAAGGACCAAAUUGCAACACGUUGCAAAAGCGGAAGGACCGCGCACGGAAAUAACCUUUUCUUAGAAAACACGCGAAUCCUUGGCUGAGCGGGUCGGGUCGGCCCGAUCCAGGGUCAAAACGACGUCGUUUUGGGGAUUAAGGACGCCAACCAAAACGGCGUCGUUUUGUUUGGCUAUAAAAGCCAAAAUUUUUUCAAAAAAAAAAUCAUUCAUUCCUUCUCACAUCAAAAAAAAUCUCAUAUGCUCUCCCCCUCCCUUUCUUUGCUCCUCUCUCCGGCAAGGGCCUGCUCAUCGCCCAUCGCGCCUUCCGCCGAUCGCCAGCGCCAGCUCCGCCGUGUGCGGUAGCCGAGAAGCUGAAAAGCUUCCCCUUUUAUGCCGAACCAUCCCUCCGACUCUCCGAACACUCUAGUGUCGUCAAAUAGGUAAAAAAAAUCUUUUUUAUUGUUUAAUGCUUCAAAAAUAAAUAAAAAGAAAAGAAAAGAAAAGAAACAAUCACCUCUAAGAAAAAAACUAAUAUCUGUUUUUAUUUCUCUUUGUUUCUUUUCGUUUCUUUUUUGAAAGAACCCCCCCACAUUUACAGAUGCAAAGAUCAGUUUUUAAACCGAUUCUCCCCCCCCAAAAAAAAUACAAAAAGUAUUCUUUUAUUUCUUUCUAUUCUUUCUGUCACUGCUUUGGUUGCUUUGCAGGUACUUGAUGGUGCAAGUGGGGCGGCGAUGGGACAUAGGCGGUGGUGGCAGUGCGCGGCGGCCAGCAAGUGGACGACCCUAGGUGCGCCGCAAGUUUUCAAAAUAUUCGGCGUUCAAGAUUCUCGAGGAGAUUGUACCCUAACUUACUGGGCUUCAAUUUUCUCCGUUGAAUUUAAAUAGCCGAGUAUCCUUUUUUCAAUAAAAUCGUAAACAUUUAAAGAUUAAAACUUACUCUCGGGAAUUCAAAGGGUUGUGUCCCAACUCACAGGAUACGACAUUUUGUUAUCUCGAGACGAGAUUUUUUAACAAAAGCAAAUUAGUGUGUGGUCGUCAAAACUUCAAAGAAUUGUACCCUAACUUACGAGGUUUCGCUUUCUUCAUAGAAACAAGAUGACCAAACCUUUUUUUAGUUUUCAAAUUAAUUAAUUUCAAUAAAGAUUUUAAAAGGAGAAUAGUUUUUUUAAUCUUUUUCAUUCGACCUUAAGACAUUAAAUAAUUAAUUCGGUACCAAUUUUGGACGUUACGAGGGUGCUAAUCCGUUCUCGUAUGCAAUUGACUCCCGAACCCAUUUUAUAAAACUUGUAGACCAAAAUCGUUUUUUAGGUGAUCCAAUCACACUUCAAUAAAAGAUUGUUGGCGACUCCCAAUUUUCAUUUUUAAGUCGACAACUAAUUUUUUUUGUUUUUUAAAAAAUGGUUUCAACAUUCAUAAUGCUUAAUUAAAACUAUUUAUAAUCCUUCCUCAACUUUUAAAUGAGAGAAUAAAUGUGCUUCAACGUGCUUUAACUCACGUCCUCAUGCAUUGAUAACAAUAACAACAUUAAUGUUUAUUGAGCUAACACUCAACCAACUUUUUUAAUAAUGUCUUCGGUGCUUAAUGCAAUGGCGACCAAAUCAAGCACUAGUGCAAUUAAUAAAUUAUUAUCUAAUUUUCAUAUUUAUAUCUAAUUUCCAUAAAAAAAAUUCUAUUAUCUAACUAUUAUAUAAUUCUUCUCAAAUGAUAGAAAUAUUGAUUGACAUCAAGUACAUUAACUAAUACGUUUUUAUUGAUAAUUUCAAAGUUAUCAAAUGCUAGUCGAAACAAUAAUAUCGAAAAUGAAAGAUCAUGAAAUUUGGGUAGCAAAAGCAAUUUAAUGAUUGCAUUAAAAUUUACAACUUAUUUUUUCGUACAAAGGAAUUAUACCUCUUUUCAUUUUCCUUAUGCACACUAGAAGUGUUCGUUGACUGGGUCGGGUUUGAUUUAAGCCGAACCUAAGCAUGUUAUUAAAAUAUUUUAUACUUGUUCAAGCCUAACCCUACAACCCGGCAUAUAAUAACCCGGUUUCAGAAUUCAACCAUGAUUUUGUAUUACAUAUUUUAAGGCUAUGAUUCUGAGGUUAUUAUUCUAAAGCUAUCUGAGACUAAUUUUAUUAUAAUGCCAAUAAAAAAAACUUGCAUCAAACUUUUCAUACUGACUUAACAGUAGGAUUAAAAAAUUAAAUUUCAAAAAGGUUUGUAACUAAAUUAAAAAAAAGUUUUAAUUAAGUGACAAAAAUAAAAAUAAUCUCGUAAUUGAAAAACGUAGUUUACCCAAUAAAAAUACUAGAAAGGAAGGUUGAAAUUUAUAAUAAAGUAACUCCAAAAUCAAGCAUCACAUGAACGUACAAGCAGUUUGGAGGUAGCUUGAAUUAUCAAAAGAAACUCUUCCAGAGGAAGACUUUGAUUUAGAUACAUGGGAGAGUACUUGAAAGCCUUGAGAAGCCAAUGUUGAUGAGCUCAUAGUAACUCGUUAUUGCAGACACACUACAUAUUAUGAAACAAACUACAUAAUAGUCUUGAAAAAAACACAAAUCAUGGGCAGGUAAUGCAACUUCAUGAUCUGGUUUUUAUAUAUUCGCAUUACAAUUUCGCCAAUGGAUCCUAUAGCUUGCCCAUUACAUUCAAGGUUUAGUUGGCAACUCCUGGCAGCCGCGACCGCUUUUAUAAA